UACGUAGGGUGCGAGCGUUGUCCGGAAUUAUUGGGCGUAAAGGGCUCGUAGGCGGUUUGUCGCGUCGGGAGUGAAAUCCACUGGCUUAACUGGUGGCUUGCUUCGAUACGGGCAGACUGGAGGUAUGCAGGGGAGAACGGAACUCCUGGUGUAGCGGUGGAAUGCGCAGAUAUCAGGAAGAACACCGGUGGCGAAGGCGGCUCUCUGGGCCGAGACUGACGCUGAGGAGCGAAAGCGUGGGGAGCAAACAGG
rnacentral:rRNA from 1 species